rnacentral:ncRNA from 2 species
GGGUCCGGGCAGCUUUGCCCGGAGGAUUCCUCUAGUGGUCGGGCCGCCACCU